UACAGGGGGUGCAAACGUUGCUCGGAAUUAUUGGGCGUAAAGCGCGCGUAGGCGGCUAUUUAAGUCGGAUGGGAAAGCCCUUGGCUCAACUGAGGAAGUGCACCCGAAACUGAAUGGCUUGAGUACCAAAGAGGGUCGCGGAAUUCCCGGUGUAGAGGUGAAAUUCGUAGAUAUCGGGAGGAACACCGGUGGCGAAGGCGGCGACCUGGGUGGAUACUGACGCUGAGGCGCGAAAGCGUGGGGAGCAAACAGG
rnacentral:rRNA from 1 species